AGCCCCAAAGUUUUAGCCGCGCUAGGAGAGCUUCCGAGGCAAGUUUUGGAGAGUUUCGGUAAAGAAAAACAAGUUGGACAUAAGCGUAGCUAGUAAGGCGCGGCACAGGUACACCCAGACAAGUAGAAGCUACUAUAGAAGAUGUUCCAGCGGGGUUGGCAACUCCACUUGUUCUGGAGUGCUGCCGAGUCAGAGUUUAUGCGCUAUGAUGUUUCGUUCGAAGUUAGAGACUUUGCAGACAGAGUUGUGGGUAUAGAGUGUCAUCUUUGUAAGCGGCA